ensembl:lncRNA
GCUGGCACCAAUUAUGGAAUCAGUUGGGGAGUGGCCAGUGCGAGGGCUGCGUUCAUAACCCCACCACAUCACUUUACAUGAGACAUGGCCAGAGUCGUCCAUGUUCAUUCCUCACACACCUAACUCGGCCCCCGUUAUGCACUUCUAUCUCUGGGGCGCUGAGAGCCGCGGUUUGGCUUCCAUCAUCGCAGGUCGAGUGGCUGCAGACAGGAAGAACCGUCCCAUCUGCUCAAGUAGUUUUGCUGCUGCUUACCGCGGAGGACAUGUGUGAGCUGGAAGAAACCAAAGCCGUUUGGAGGAUGGAGGUGGAGUUGUGGGCGGGGAGAAGGGCUCCUUCAGACCUCAACCACACGCAUUCCCGGGCCCACAAAAUCAACUUGAUGAAAUGGAACCCGUCAAGCUCCACUCGACUUUAACUUCUGCCUCUACGCUUUUAUGUCAACGUAUUCGGCGUAGCCUUUGUUGUAACUCUAACUUUUUGCACUUCCAUUUGAACCGUUAUUGAGCUGAAGCUCAUUCUUUUACCCAGUGGAGAUGAACCCUGCUGCCCCGGAGGAAGUUCAUACACACCUUUUGUGCAUUCAGGUUUGUCUCUCCUCGGCCGUUAAGUUGUGAGUGAUUUCCUAGCGGUUUUGCAGUCCUCUGUUUUUACAAAGGAAAGUCAUAUAUUAACUCCCUCCCCCCCCAGUCCAUUGGGAGGUCAAAGUCCCAGGUCAGCUACAGUCUUGCGCUUGCUCAUCGACACUUCAGCAGGGCAGUUAAAGUUCAGAGAGGAACAUAGUGCUCUUAAGUGUUUUCUACAGUGGUUGUACAUUAAAACAUGUUUAGAUCACUGAAGUGCACUUUGGAAACUAUAAUGUGGAAUUUAAAAACAAUCCUUCAGGCACCGUCUCUCGUCUGCUGCUUUAGGCCUGAUGCCACAGUGCAGACUGAAUUCACAAUGGGAGACAUCACAGAGUCACAGCCUGUAAAUGUUAGCUUUAGUUUCUUUUACAUCAACAGUUUAUCCAUCUCUAAUUGGAACGUGGCCCCCCUCCUUCCUCUUUCUAUCUAAACACAAAGACGAGCACGCGCACACUCACGAGUCCAGUUAUAGUCACACAGUCGGGCAUGCACGUACACAUCGGAUGGAAUCAUG